AUGGAUCUGAAGGACAGCCUCUCCAGAUUUAAGCAGCAGCAGGAGAGGUGCCAGUCAUCUUUGGCCAGCAUAGCUGCAAGCCAAGCUUCAACCACAAAACCAAAGCACAGGGCCCAACCGAUUAAUGCUCCAUCUGCUCCAGCAAGGCCUGCACAACCUAUUAAAUUUUCAAACGAUACAGAAAGGCUGCAACAUAUUAAUUCAAUUAGGAAAUCUCCUGUUGGGGCACAGAUCAAACUUGUCAUUGAACUGCUUUACAAGACAAGACAAGCUUUUACAGCAGAGCAGAUAAAUGAUGCAACUUACGUUGAUAUCAAUGGUAAUAAGGCUGUCUUUGACAGUCUGAGGAAUAACCUCAAAGUACACUAUGAUGGGAGGCGUUUCUCAUACAAGUCCAAGCAUGAUCUGGAGGGGAAAGAUCAACUACUUGAUUUGAUAAGGUGUCACCAGGAGGGUCUUGCUGUUGUGGAAGUGAAGGAUGCAUACCCAAGUGUAUUGGAAGAUUUGCAGGCUCUGAAGGCAGCAGGUGAAGUUUGGCUGUUGUCAAACAUGGAUUCACAGGAGGACAUUGUUUACCCUAAUGAUCCAAAAGUGAAGAUCAAGGUUGAUGAUGACCUGAAGGAGCUCUUCCGUGGGAUUGAGUUACCACGUGAUAUGUUUGAUAUCGAAAAGGAGCUCCAGAAGAACGGCAUGAAGCCGAUGACCGACACCACCAAACGACGAGCAGCAGCCCAGAUCCAUGGUGUGAAACCCAAGGCUAAGCCUAAGAAGAAGCAACGCGAGAUAACUAAACGGACCAAGCUCACGAAUGCCCAUCUGCCUGAGCUGUUCCAGCAUCUUAAAUCUUGA
rnacentral:rRNA from 1 species